rnacentral:lncRNA from 1 species
CAACUGCAGUAGGAAGCCGAGGCCUCGAGUACAGGAGCAAACGGACUGGCCCGAGGUCACCCUGCACCCCGGGGCGGGGCUCAGAGGCCCAACCCAGGCUCUGCACCGCCCAGGCCCGGGCCUCUCAGCCCUUUCCUCCACCGCCCCGCCCCCGCCCGGCCAAGCACCGCGCCCUCCCGGGUCCGCGCCGCGCGAGGUGGCGCUCUGGGUCCCUGGGGUCCGUACCGGCGGGCGGCCGAGAGCUGGGCGCGGCGCGCUGGGUGGGGGCCGGGGCGCCUGCGGCGUGGCGAAGAGCAGCAGGCUUCCUGCCGGCACCGAGGACAGAGGUGUGAAAGACUUAAUAAGGCCUGCAAACUUGCCUGCCCUCCGGAGGAGGUGACCCACAAGAAGAAGGAAUCGACUAUCUGAAGUCACAGCUUGUGGUGUCUGAGGAGGAUGCCCGACUCUCAGCCUCAUUCUCACAAGCCCGACGUGCACUCAGGGAGCAGUAAAAGCAAACGACGCGCAGAGGCGCUGCCCUUCAGGACCCUUUGUGGAGCCUGGAUUUGGAAGCCAAGCGGACAGCAUCAGACUCGGCAGUUUGCUGGCAUCUCAGCCCAUGACUCAUUG